CACCCGCGCCCAGCGGCCGGCGCGUCCACCUGCGUGCUCCUGCCCGCGCGAGCGUCUGGAACGCGGCGGAAGGCUGGGGGCUGCCGGGCCUCUCCGCGUCCUGCGGCAACCCGCCACCAAACUCCCGCCUCCGUCCCUACAUGCUGGACUGUGAGCAAAGUUUGCAGGAGAAAAGCGGGUCAAACGUUCCACAUUUUUUCCCGGACUCCCUCCCGGCUAGCUGUGGCGCACUAGCCCCCUUCAGGCUGUGUUCAUGCAGCCAACCCCAGUCCUCUCCCUGGGAUCUGACCUCCGAAGCUAGAGCCUCAGCUCUCAGCCCCCACCUGCCCUAUGCGUGAGCAGACAAGGAUCUCAGGCUGAUGACAUUCUGAGGGGCUGAUCUCCGGAAAAGGCCAAGUGAAAAGUCAUCCAAUAACAAGGAAGAAGAUGGCGUGUAGAAUGCACGAAUAGGCUUUGCUGCUGGGAUGCUACUCAGGACGAAAGGGCACAGUCACGGGGGCACACAGCAAGUAGCAUCAGAGAAUGUUAUUACGAUGCUCCCCAGUCAACGCCAGUGACUUUAAUAACAUUGGAAUCAACAUGUGGCAUUCCAUAAGAAAAUGGAGUUGAAGUUUGUCUUCUGUUGAUACAGUAUUCUCCCUGUUGUGGUAGUGAAUCGUCGGUAAAAUUGUGUUGGAAGUAGUGUAUG